rnacentral:rRNA from 1 species
UGAGUAACCUGCCCUUAACUCUGGGAUAAGCCUGGGAAACUGGGUCUAAUACCGGAUAUGACUCCUCAUCGCAUGGUGGGGGGUGGAAAGCUUUAUUGUGGUUUUGGAUGGACUCGCGGCCUAUCAGCUUGUUGGUGAGGUAAUGGCUCACCAAGGCGACGACGGGUAGCCGGCCUGAGAGGGUGACCGGCCACACGUGGGACUGAGACACCGGCCCAGACCUCCGUACGGGGAGGCAG